AUACGGAGGGUGCAAGCGUUAAUCGGAAUUACUGGGCGUAAAGCGUGCGUAGGUGGUUUGUUAAGUCAGAUGUGAAAGCCCCGGGCUCAACCUGGGAACUGCAUUUGAAACUGGCAUACUAGAGUAUAGGAGAGGAAAGUGGAAUUUCAGGUGUAGCGGUGAAAUGCGUAGAUAUCUGAAGGAACAUCAAUGGCGAAGGCAGCUUUCUGGACUAAUACUGACACUGAGGUACGAAAGCGUGGGUAGCAAACAGGAUCAGAAACCCUAGUAGUCC
rnacentral:rRNA from 1 species